rnacentral:rRNA from 1 species
CCUACGGGAGGCAGCAGUGAGGAAUAUUGGUCAAUGGACGAGAGUCUGAACCAGCCAAGUAGCGUGAAGGAUGACUGCCCUAUGGGUUGUAAACUUCUUUUAUAUGGGAAUAAAGUGUUCCACGUGUGGGAUUUUGUAUGUACCAUAUGAAUAAGGAUCGGCUAACUCCGUGCCAGCAGCCGCGGUAAUACGGAGGAUCCGAGCGUUAUCCGGAUUUAUUGGGUUUAAAGGGAGCGUAGGUGGAUUGUUAAGUCAGUUGUGAAAGUUUGCGGCUCAACCGUAAAAUUGCAGUUGAAACUGGCAGUCUUGAGUAUAGUAGAGGUGGGCGGAAUUCGUGGUGUAGCGGUGAAAUGCUUAGAUAUCACGAAGAACUCCGAUUGCGAAGGCAGUUCACUGGACUGCAACUGACACUGAGGCUCGAAAGUGUGGGUAUCAAACAGGAUUAGAUACCCCAGUAGUC